AGUUCGCUGCCCUAUACAAGGUCAGUAAUCACCCUCGUCUUACACUUUGUUUUCAUUUUUCUUUGGAAAUAAGAAUAUAGUUUCUGUGUCGUUAUCUCAAUUUUGCCUAUCUAAACUCAUUUUGUUAUAAAAAUGUUAGUAAAGAUUGGUGUCGAUCAGAGGGGCGGUUGAUUUAUCAAUCUGAUUAUAUGUGUGUUUUGUUUUACUAAAUGUAAAUACUGGCUUGCUCUUUAGAUUUUUUUUUCUUCCAUUGCUUUUAUAUUCAUCUGGAUAUCUUUCAUAGCUCUCCGCAUUUUUACUGUUUGAAUGUAUGGUGAUCCCCUGACAACUGAGUGUCUGUUGUUGAUAUGAGUAAAUAUUGAUUAUAUUGGGUUUGUUGGUUGUAGCAUCUUGGUAACGACAUCUUUGGUCGUCUAAUAUUUGUUUAUACCUUACUCAUGUUGUAGUGAUGAGUUGUGCUCGGCUAAAUUCACUUCGCAUCUAAAUAAUGCUAAUGUCGCCUAAUUGUCAGCUUCUCGAUAGUUUGGAUUCAAUUGUCAUGUUCUUUUCACGUUAGGUCUACCUAUUUGAGUUCCAUAAUCUGAUUCUUUCCAAAAUUUGGCCUGGUUGGGUUUCGCUCUUCAUUAUCCACGUUUAAGUUUCACAUUAGGCAAACGACUAGAAGUCGUUUGGGUUCACUUGGCUUGCUACUGUCGGCAUCAUUUUAAAUAGGCGUAGGAGUUGCAGAAACUACCUAAUGUGAUAGUUGUAUGUGGAAUUGUCUUAUUGUCUUUUGGGUGUAACAACUUCAGUUUCUCUCUUCGCAGAUCCCUUUGUUAAAUUUAAAUGACUUUUGAUCCCUUUACCUAUUCAGAAAAUUCACAAAUUAGUUGUGUGAUUUGUCACUUAGUUCCCGCUAUGUCCCUUUUUGGAGGUCCAUAGCUCCACUGCUGCUUGUUUUGAGUUCUCAAUAUUCAUAGCAUGUCCCAAUCUCUACAGAUGUGUCCGAUAAUGCUCUUUCUGUAUUUUAACUUUUCAAAAUUUUGGAAUGUUAAUAUAAAAGUUUGAAAGCGCUUAACUUUGUGUCCAAAUUUUCUUCCAGUUGUCUGUCCCAACAGGCAGCCAUUGUUUCAGAAAUCUGGUCCGUGUUCAUGUGUUGACAAAAUUUAAGCUGGAUACUUUGUUUUAAAGCUUGUUACUGAAUGGACGGUGAUUAUAAAUGUUAGUGUUUGCUCUGUUUGAAUUGAGUUCUAUCAAAAGAAAUAUGGCUUUGUUGUAUGGAAACAAAAAUACCGGGAUUACUUUUAAAGAAGUUUGUCGAGUCGAAACUAGUAUGCUAUUAUACUCUUGGAUAUGUGCGACCAGUUGAAUAUAUUUUUGCCUUAUCAUUUCAUCGUCCCUAGUUUUCUUUUAUUUAUUUAUUUUUUCUCAAAAAUCGUCAAUGGGGCUGUCCUAAUAUUGAGCUUUCUGAGAGAAACUUUUAUACUAGUAAAAUAAGAGUCAUUUUUGUGUUAACCAGCAUGUCUUAAACUCUGCAACUUUAAGUUAAUAGAAAUCUGAUAUAUUUUUCAUUGGUGAAUACUUAAACAUGGUUUGAAAGUCAUUUUGUUAUGUGUACCUAGUUGUGGCUGAUUGUAUGCUUGCGUGGUCAAUGGAUGCGAUCUAUAUAACUCGUGGCAGAAUAUUGUAGUCACUGAUUUCAAGUUUAUAACAUACACUUUUUGUUUCCAUUUAAUUAAAUCCUCUCCAGAUUAGAGUGAAGUUAGUUCAAUUUAUAGUUCACCGUUUAAGAUUCCUAUUUCGUCGGAGUAUGUUUAUGUUCUUUUUUGAGAGAUUUGUGUACCUCUAUUGACUUAUAGUGCAUCGAACUGGUAGAAUUUUGGUAUGCUUCAGGAAAUAUUAAAAACAUGAUAGGACCUUCCUACCAUAGACCAAAAAAUAACAAUCUUUUCCCUGGAACCUAUAAACUUUUGUCUUUAAAUCUCGUGAAUAUCAAGUUGGAGUUAACAAAAUUUAUAUAUGUAGAGUUAGAAUUACAUUGUUUCUUUUGAGAUUAUACUUAAACAUGAUAUAGUUUUCAAGCAUAUAUAAGAAGGUACAGGCACAUAUUUGCUCAUGACUGAGGACAUCGUUGUCUGGCAUGCUAUCACUGAUCUUUGCCUAUUGAUAUAUUAUGUCUAAUUUUGUUCUCAUUCCCUCUUUCGAAGCAUAUAGCGUGUAUUUAUUUUCACUGCAAGUUCUUCUUCUUAUAAGUUUCCUCAUCCUUAUUUAUUUAACCCAUCUGGAAUUAAGACGCUAAUUCAAUCUCUUUUAUUUCAUGUACACUCGGGAGCUGGAGUUCUAUUUUGGAACUCGUUAUUGACCCAAAAUAUUGGGUCAACAGCUAUUAGGACUAUCGUAGCGCUCAGGGGUCUAAAUCAUCGGAAGCUUGUUCCUCCAAUAGGAACUUAUAGUAUCUAGCUCCUUACCUUCCUCAUUACUUUCUUAUUCACAUUUAUUUAACUAACUUUGUAUUACUCCGAAUAUAUGUUUGUG
rnacentral:lncRNA from 1 species